rnacentral:ribozyme from 1 species
UCUACAACCUCGUAAGGAAAAAAAAAAAAAAAAAAAAAAAAAAAAAAAAAAAAAAAA